rnacentral:rRNA from 1 species
AUUGAACGCUGGCGGCAUGCCUUACACAUGCAAGUCGAACGGUAACAGGGUGCUUGCACCGCUGACGAGUGGCGAACGGGUGAGUAAUGCGUCGGAACGUGCCGAGUAGUGGGGGAUAACGCAGCGAAAGUUGUGCUAAUACCGCAUACGUACUAAGGUAGAAAGUGGGGGACCUUCGGGCCUCACGCUAUUUGAGCGGCCGACGUCUGAUUAGCUAGUAGGUGAGGUAAAGGCUCACCUAGGCGACGAUCAGUAGCGGGUCUGAGAGGAUGAUCCGCCACACUGGGACUGAGACACGGCCCAGACUCCUACGGGAGGCAACAGUGGGGAAUUUUGGACAAUGGGCGCAAGCCUGAUCCAGCCAUGCCGCGUGCAGGAUGAAGGCCUUCGGGUUGUAAACUGCUUUUGUACGGAACGAAAAGCCUUCUUCUAAUAAAGGGAGGUCAUGACGGUACCGUAAGAAUAAGCACCGGCUAACUACGUGCCAGCCGCCGCAGUAAAAC